UUAACAAGAAUUUGAAAAACUGCUGCACACACACAUUUUAAAACAACAAAAGAGUUGCUGAUACUUUUAUGAACAGUAUUCUACAAACAUUUUGCCUCAAUUGCACCAAAAUUAAAGAGGCUUGUGCCUGACAAAUUCUGCACAUUCAUAUUUUCCAGCUUUGGUGGUAAUUUCAGAAAUAUUGCAAACGAUAUUUUUGCGAAGAGAAAAUGACUGAGAAACUUCUGCAACUGAGAAGGUGGGAUGAAAGAAAAACCCAUCCGCUGGGAGCCAUGGAAUUGGCCUCGGGCUUGUUUUAAGAAAGGGAAGGAAAAAUCAAAACAAACGGUGCCUGGCUGCCAGGAAUGCACUGCCUGAGCUUUGGCACCGGCGACGCCUGAGAAGCGCACCGAGCAGUAAAGUGGCAAGGAGCUGGGCCUGGGGCUCCUUAGUCUGGAUCUCCAGCAGCCGGGGCCCGUCGGGGGAAGAGUUUCAGGCCCUGGGUGGCUUUUUUUCCAUAGCUGCGCAGCUGGAGCCUGGAAGGAGUCUGCCGCCAUCCGAGAAGAGAGGCAAAGGGAGAGUGAGGUACCAGCGAUGAACGAAUGAUCCAGGUGGCCACAAAGCCAACAUCUACCUGUUCUUACUAAUGUGUGUCUACUUAUGGAGAGUUGUUGAAGUUGUGUGUGACAGCUGCCCUUCGUUCAAGAUAAAGGUGGGGAGACUGAGGUACAGAAUUGCCUAUGGUCACACAAGAAGACUGGAAGAGCUGUGAAUAGAAUGCCAGAGUCCAGACUCCCAUUCAGAAGACCCUCCUCCUCUUGCAAAAGAGACAGCUACAUAAAUAAAUAAGAAGAGAUCACUUUCCUGCUGAUGAAGUCAGAAGAGCAAGAAAAUAGGGGGAAAGGAAAAAUUGAAGGAGAAAGAAAAUGUAGGAAGACAUGGAAGAGAAAAGGGUGCAGGGGAACAAACUCAGCAGAAAGGAAAUAGGCAGUGCUGCUGUGGGAACCCUCCAUUAAACAAAGAAUAACAAAGAAGAGACUCAGGUUCUGCUAGAUACAUCUUGCCACAGACUUUAAGAGGAAAGAUUUUUAAUUGCUCCUAUGGGAUGUCUAUGAAGAACCAGCAACAGUGCACAAAAGCAACAGGGGAAACUCUUUAGACACAAAUCAAUGUCAAAUGCACAAUGCAAGAGAACCUCAGGAUUUUACUGUUUUUUAUCCAUGAUUUGGCAACCCAAAGCUGCUUCAUCAUCAUGGCAAAUCUCAAAGUGACGUGGCCUCCUUGCAGACUGAGCGCCACCUGGAUCCAUUGCUGACUAUGUCCGUAAGAUAGUCUGGCAGGAUAUUCAGUUUCUUACCAUCACUGGCAAUCUUAUUGUGCCACCAAAGCUUUAGCACCAUGUGAUCGCCAGCCAUGUACAAGCAUCGUUGGUACACAUGCUUCAGAAUCUGUUGGUCUUCCAGUAAUACAACCAUACCAAGAAAACUGCCAAAACCAAACCAGUGCUGAUGGAGGUGAUUGCCUGGUUCAGCUUUGAAUAUUACCUGCUUUUCGAGGAAAAUGGGUUUAGCUAUUUCAGUUAAUAUUUGAAUGUUCCAUACACUAAUUCUACAUUUGCCACCAAUGCACAAGAUACUGGAAAUGCCCUUUUGCAAGGUUUCACUGGUCAUUUUUUGCCUCAGCAGCAGAGAAACUUGUGGCCAUUCUAACUACAAGGACAACUGACCAGAUUGUUGCAGACGGUCAGCUUCAGCAUAGAUACCAUGAUGUGAAAAUACUGACCUUUGAGGGACAAAGUUCUUGGUGAACAAUAUAUACAAUUUCCCCAAAGUAUUGGUGUCUGUUACUGUUUUCUCUAGAGUUUAUGUUCUUCAAUCCAUGUGCUCAGGUCAGUUUUUAAAUCCAUUAACACCCCAUCUACAGAUUUCUGAGAUCUGAGCAGGGUUCAAAAUUUCCAAGGGAUUGGAAGGAUCCAAACUACAAUCUGUGGGCCAGUUUUUCAAAAAAUAAAGCAUUUGCACAUGUAACUGUGUAAUCUGAAUGCUCACUUAUCUGUUUGUGACAUCACAUUUAUAUUUAGUGAGCACAGUUUAAGGAAUUUUAAUUUGGCCCUAUGGAUCCUGGGAUUUCAUAAAUGAAGAAGGAGACAUUUGGCAAGGUGAUGACUUCAGGACUGACUGAAGUUGUGAUGGAUGAGUCCAUAAGGUAGUUUUAUUUUGUUAAUCUUUUCUCCUUUUGGGCUAUGUAGGCUGGAAAGGAGUAAUCAUAAAUGCAAAAAGCAGUCAGAUAUAGAUUAGUUCAAUGAAAACACUGAAAAGCAUGUUUUUCAUCAGGAUCUCAUUGAGGAAAGAUCUUUUCCACUUGCAUUCUAGCUUUGCCUGAGUAAUUUUGAAAAUUGAAAGCAAAUUCCCCACUUGUCUGAACUUCCAUGAUUUACUGGGUUGAAGUCAGCAGACUGGAUUGCCUUUCUCGGUACUCAUAUCAGCUUGAAAAUGGAAUCCUGAGUAUUAGGUAGCAUAUUUCCAGAUCCUCGCAUACUGGGAGAGUGGGCUGCUCCACACUGGGAUUGAUGCCAAGUGAAGGUAAAAGCAGGAUGAAUCAAACAAGUCUUGCUGAUCUUAAACUGGCAUAUGCUGAUGAAAAGCAAAGAAAAGGCUUUGCUAUAGUGAAGCCUGUAGCUGGCAUCAUACUCUUUGGUACAUAUAUAUGCCAACAUUUAGUUCUGUGAAGAGUAGCCAAAUGCAACUGAGAAAAAAAAUCGAACCAAAACAAUAGACUUGCAAGAAUUUAUGGUUGGUUAACUCUAUCUGUCAUUGUAAUGUUUCUAUAUUUAUAGAUAAAAUGCAUAAUUGCUGUCACAUGCAUAAUGUACAAUAGGUAUGAAAUAUUCAAUAUGUCUAUUCUUUCUUGGAGUAUGAAUUACUUUGUAUUUCAUCAUGAUAGAAAAUUGCUCACUUGAACCAAAGCUUGCACACUAUUAAGGAGCUGAUAGUUUACUUCAACAAGCUUCUGCUGUCUUUCAUUACUUUGGCAAUCACUGCCAGUCACAGUUAAAGUUCGCAAACCCAGCACUCAGAUCUUGAAAGUUCCAAGAAAGAGAGAAGAUCCGUGCCCAAAGGUGAGAAGUGCCUUUAAUUUUGUAUAUUCUCUUUUGGAGCAAACAGGUUCAAAGUAGAAUGGUGCCACUUUUUUCAUAAAUAACAGCCUGAUUUAAAGAUUCUUCCUCUUGUAAAUUGUAGUACUGUAUUUUCAAAAGGUGUUUGCAACACUUUCCUUUCCUAGAACCUGAAAAGCCAGGAAUGCCAAACUCUCCCAACAUAGAAAGGAAAAGCAGGCCCAAAUUAGUAUUAAGUGGAUACAGCAUCUCUGAAAUGGGGUAACUAAUUCUGGCAACCAUGAGACCUUUGAGACAAAAAUAUACUCUCACAGGCUGUGGGUGCUUUCAUCUGAUCCCUCAGAAACUCUACUCAUUGGAUGGCUUUUGAGCUUGUCAGACUGCAAAAUGAGCACAUGCAAUCUUGACCUGUAGAGGCUAAUGCUAGAGAUGAGUGGUACAUCUGUCAUUAUGUCCAUUGAUUUCUCAACCUCUGCACAGGCUGCCAACAAAAAUGCCAUGGAACUGAGCUAACCCCACAACUAAGAUGGGCCAUAACUGAAGAGUAACCUAGAGGGGAAAGGCGCUGUACUGCAUUGUUCAUCCCCUAAGAUACCCAGUUUCCUAAAUACAACAAAAACAAUAAUAGGAUAAAUAUAGAAAUUGCUGGUCAUGUAAAUUGCUUUUUCUGUAACUGGUCUCUUUUGUCAAGUUAGCCUCUGUGUGAAAGCUGUCUGGAAAGCUAAGCCACAAAAUUCCAGUUUUGGAGUUGGUAAAAGCAUGUUUCUAAAUUCACCUACAUCCCAAGCAAUAAGCACAUGCUAAACACAGUGGUUAUAAGUAAGUGCUAGUUCUUAUAUAGUGUUUUUUCAUCAGUAGAUCUCAAAGCACUUCACACUCUCCCAUAAAAAAGAUCAGAAUAUUGAUUCCCAUUUUAUAAAUGGGGAAACGGAGGCACAGGGUAGUAAAGUGACUUGCUCAACAUCUCCUAGUAGCAUAGUUAGGACCAGAACCCAGGUCUCACGAACACCAGUUAGGUGCACUAGUCAGUAGGCCACACGCAGUAGGAUGUCAUUUGACGAAAGUCACCAUUUUGAUCCGUAAAUUGCUCAGUAAUGACAGAGUUUUAAAAAAUCAUUGCAUUAAUUCUUGGUACUGUAUACUACUAGAGAGGGUAAAUAGUGCUGUACACAUAUCUGAUUUAUACAGUGGUCACCAAUAAAACUCUGCAUUUACCAAGAGUUUUCAUACUACAGCAUUAGAUAUACAGUGGCAUCUGAGAUAAUAUACUGCAGUAACUGCUGGAAAAUACUGAUUUUUAAUGCUAAUGUCUGCAUGAUAUUUUUUCAAAUAAAAUAAGGAGAUUUUCUGUAGCAUUGAUUUUGUAGGGAGCUUAAGAAAGCAUUUAUCAAGUCUUUUUUUCAAGUAAUUUCAUUUGAAAUUGGGAUGCAUAAAACAUUUCCAUUAUUCUUCUCAAAGAUUUUUGUCCCAGUGAACUGGUUCAGAUACUUUUUAAUUAAACUCAAAAUAUCAGUAUUUUAUCUGUUGAUUUCCAGACAGUGAAUAAAAAAUGUUUUUCUAUUGCUUUGAAUACGGUGGAGAAGACAUAAGUAAUUUAUAAGCCCUGAAGGUAUUUGCUUUCUGAAAAUGUGAAGCUUGUCAGAAGGUAAGCUCUCUGGAAACAGUGCUUUGCAAAUGAGAUGAAAAUUGAGCUUAUCAUCAUUCUUCCCUUCUCUCACUGUCAGUACACCAUCUGCCAUGCUCCCUGAUUUCAUUCUUGCAUUCCUUCUCCAUUUACAUCCAGGUGCUCACCAAGUGUUGCUGCUUCUUCUUCCAUAAUAAGGCAGCCCCCCUUCUCUAUCCCCACUGUCAAAAGACUAGCCCAUGAUCUAGUUAUUUCUAGAACCUCCUGCUUUCUGGCCUAUCCUUCUCUUCUAUCUCCCGUUCCUUCUAUCAAUAAUACUGACAUCAAGAUUAAUCCCUUUCCUACCAUUCUGAUCAUGUCCCCCAACUUCUUGAAUCUCAGCACUGGCUUACCCUCUACUUCCACAUAAAGUUCAAACUUUUUCUCAUUCAAAACUAAAUAACCUCACUAUCAUUUACUCUGACCACAUCUCCUCCUAUCAACACUUUCUGAUUCCCAGUGUUUCUUUCCUGACUGCAUCCUUCUUCAUCCAUGCAGGUUUCAUGCUGCCCUAUAUGCCUAUAAUAGCUUUCCAUGUACUUCAAGUCCCUUACAUCUUCUGCAUCAGAAAGAAUACGUCUGUUAGUCUAUAAGGUGCCACAGGACUCUUUGUUACUUUUUAUAGAGAAAUCUUUGGUGAUCUUAAACACAAAAAGGAAGCUUAUAAGAAGUGGAAACUUGGACAGAUGACUAGGGAGGAGUAUAAAAAUAUUGCUUGAGCAUGCAGGGGUGUAAUCAGGAAGGCCAAAGCACAAUUGGAGUUGCAACUAGCAAUGGAUGUGAAGGAUGACAAGAAGGUUUUUUACAGGUAUGUUAACAACAAGAAGGUGGUCAGGGAAAGUGUGGGACCCUUAUUGAAUGGGGGAGGCAACCUAGUGACAGAUG